rnacentral:rRNA from 1 species
UACGUAGGGUGCAAGCGUUGUCCGGAAUUAUUGGGCGUAAAGAGCUCGUAGGCGGUCAGUCGCGUCUGCUGUGAAAACUCGGGGCUUAACUCCGGGCCUGCAGUGGGUACGGGCUGACUAGAGUGCGGUAGGGGGAGACUGGAAUUCCUGGUGUAGCGGUGAAAUGCGCAGAUAUCAGGAGGAACACCGGUGGCGAAGGCGGGGUCUCUGGGCCGUAACUGACGCUGAGGAGCGAAAGCGUGGGGAGCGAACAGG